CUCAGAAAAUAGCAAACUUAUUGAAAAAUGGGGGCGCAAAGUCACGGGUCUAAAGCUUUAUAGCUAUGGCGGCUGGACUGCCUGG
rnacentral:ncRNA from 2 species